AGUCACGCUAAGCCCAAGUUUUGUGUUAUUUUUCGAAAUUUGAACAACUUCUAAUGGUGGAUCGCUCGGCUCGUGGGUCGAUGAAGACCGCAGCAAAAUGCGUGUCGGCAUGUGAAUCGCAAGAUUAUGAGAUGCAUCGACCAGUUGAACGCACAUUGCGGCGAGGGCACUGACCAGUGUCUUCGCCACUCCCGGACGAGUGUCUG
rnacentral:rRNA from 1 species